AGCGACAACUGCUUCAAUCGUAUGAGGGGAACUAGGACAGAACCACUGAAAUAUGCUAUUUAAAAUAAGUGACAUCAUUGCUCUGAAUAUUUUUCUUGAUUUCUAAUUAAAAUUAUUUAUUGUUAUGCAAGGAUAUAACAUACCAAAAAGAUGAUUGAGGACUUCAACAUGAGCAGGAGAGGCGCGCUUUCCACUGAAGCAAACGCAUACGGAUUACAGUACAUAGGUUUCAUCUGAUUUCCGCUUGAUUUUGGAUUAUAUCGGCUGUUUUCUUUGGAAUGGAGGGUCGUGAUUUUUCCGCUCCAGCACAUCUCCUCUCAGAGCGGGCCACUCUAGUGCAUCGCGCCGCCUCUCGCAUCUCCUCCUCCGGCCACGGCUCUGUGCAACAUACGCCUCAUUUUCCAGCCGGGAAAUAUUAUCCAUCUCACUUACCGAUGGCGGCGCAUUCAGGCAGUGGGCUGAUGGGCAACUCCUCAGCCUCCUUCAUGGGGACGUUCCUGGCCAGCAGUCUAGGCUCCCCUCCC